AUGACUCUGAUCUGCGUCCUCAUCUGGACUCUCCUCUGCUGCUGCUUCACAGAGUCCAGAGGACAGGUCACAGUGACUCAGCCUGCAGCAGUGAUAUCUGCUCCGGGAGGCUCCAUCACCAUCUCAUGCAGGACCAGUCAGGAUGUUUACAGUACUAACUAUCUGCACUGGUACCAACAGAAAGAUGGAGACACUCCUAUACUGCUCAUUAAGCAUACUAGCACUCGAGAAUCAAGUACUCCAGAUCGUUUUACGGGCAGUGGAUCUGGAUCUGACUUCACUCUGACUAUCAGUGGAGUCCAGACUGAAGAUGCUGCAGAUUACUACUGUCUGAGUGGACAGUACAUCAACAGUCAGUAUCUGUACACACAGUGAAAAAGCGUCGUACAAAAACCUCCUUCAGUCAGACUGAACAGAAACUGAACUGACAGCUGCAGCUGGAAGCUUCUGCAGAGACUGACACACUUCACUGAAGACACACACACACACACACACACACACACACACACACACAUAUUUUCAGUAUCUUAUCAAACACUCGCCACCAUAAAAUCCUCCUGUAUGCUGCUGACAUACAGUUACACUUUACAAACCCUCAUGUCUCACUGAUUAUAUCCAUAAAGCAAACAACAUUUAAAUAGAUAAUUCCUUCCUUCCUUCUUAAAAAACACUCAGUUAGAGAGCUUUGAGUUUACAGUUUUAACAAAGACACUUGGCCUGAUCAAGUAAAGCAGAAAUCCAACACCAGAAGAAAUAUGAGAAAAUUAAGUUGAUUUUUUAUUUCGGUCUGCAUCAACAAUUAACA